CAACGGAGAGGGGCCACGACAGCCCUGUCAGAACGGGGGCCACAUCACUGGGUUGUUUCGAUGCAAAUUAACUUGAAUAAACAAAGAUAGUUUCCUCCACAGGGGAUUCGAGAGAAAUUUAAUAAGAAUCGCUACCGGAAAAGACAGCUGUAGCGUUGGAGGAGUACGUCUUGCUGCUCCUGGUAACAGAGGAGGCUUUGCUGGCCCUGCCUCCUUCACUGCUACCCUGGGAGGACUUCCCCCCCAGGUCCCCCGCUGAGCCUAUAGACGAGAUUUCAGCGCCAGCAGCGACGGGAUCCCCUUGCAGUCGGAGACCCCCGUGGAGUCGGAGAUGCAGUCCUUCCAGAGGUUGGAGAAGUAGUUUGAGGUGGUCAGCACGAUGCUGUCCACCUCGGACCAGGU